CUUCAGAGAGCCCAGGUACAGGGGCUGUGCACGCUCCUGGCCGUAGGUGGCCAGCAACGCGUGCGCCUC
rnacentral:antisense_RNA from 1 species